AUUGAACGCUGGCGGAAUGCUUUACACAUGCAAGUCGAACGGUAGAGGGGGCAACCCCUUGAGAGUGGCGAACGGGUGAGUAAUAUAUCGGAACGUGCCCAGUCGUGGGGAUAACGUAGCGAAAGUUACGCUAAUACCGCAUACGAUCUACGGAUGAAAGCGGGGGACUCGCAAGAGCCUCGCGCGAUUGGAGCGGCCGAUAUCAGAUUAGGUAGUUGGUGGGGUAAAGGCUCACCAAGCCAACGAUCUGUAGCUGGUCUGAGAGGACGACCAGCCACACUGGAACUGAGACACGGUCCAGACUCCUACGGGAGGCAGCAGUGGGGAAUUUUGGACAAUGGACGCAAGUCUGAUCCAGCCAUUCCGCGUGCAGGAUGAAGGCCCUCGGGUUGUAAACUGCUUUGUACGGAACGAAAAGGUUUCUAUUAAUACUAGGAGCUCAUGACGGUACCGUAAGAAUAAGACAACCGGCUAACUAACGUGCCACGCAGCCGCGGUAAAGU
rnacentral:rRNA from 1 species